AUUUGCAGUCUAAUAGUGGAGGCAAUAGCAGUGAUAGGUUUCCCAGGGCGACGGAUGGGUGAGGGAGGGGUGCGGUCAUGAAGUGCAUGGUCAGGAUGGGCGCGGUCAGGAGGGGUGUGGUCAGAAGGGGUGUGGUCAGGAGGGGUGUGGUCAGGAGGGGUGUGGUCACACAGGGUGUGGUCAGGAGGGGCGUGGUCAGGAGGUGGCGGAGGGGCGGGUCAGGAGGGGCGGGGUCAGGAAGCUUGUGGGGCGGAGGGGCGGGGUCAGGAAGCUUGUGGUCAGGAGGGGUGGAGGGGCGGGGUCAGGAAGCUUGUGGUCAGGAGGGGCGGGGUCAGGCCGGGUCGGCGUACAGCAGGAAGCCGGAGAAGGUGCUGUCGUCCUCGCUGCUGGAGUA